CUGGUUGAUCCUGCCAGUAGUCAUAUGCUUGUCUCAAAGAUUAAGCCAUGCAUGUCUAAGUACAAGCCAGAGUAAGGUGAAACCGCGAAUGGCUCAUUAAAUCACACCUAAUGCACUGGAUAGUCUCCCUUACUUGGAUAACUGCGGUAAUUCUGGAGCUAAUACAUGCGUUCAAGCCUUGAACGUGCGUUCAAGGUGCUUUUAUUAGAUCAAAACCGAACUUUCAGUCUUGAUGACUCUGGAUAACUUUCUGCAGAUUGCAUGGCCGAGUGCCGGCAACGUAUCCAUCUAAGGUGUGCCCUAUCAACUGUCGACUGUGGCAUAGACGCCCACAGUGGUUGUGACGGGUAACGGGGAAUUAGGGUUCGAUUCCGGAGAGGGAGCCUGAGAAACGGCUACCACUUCUAAGGAAGGCAGCAGGCACGCAAAUUACCCAAUGGUCGAAGACCGAGGUAGUGACGAAAAAUAACGAUACCGGACUCAUCCGAGGCCCGGUAAUCGGAAUGAGUACACUUUAAAUCCUUUAACGAGGAACAAUUGGAGGGCAAGUCUGGUGCCAGCAGCCGCGGUAAUUCCAGCUCCAAUAGCGUAUAUUAAAGUUGUUGCGGUUAAAAAGCUCGUAGUUGGAUCUCAGCGUGCAGGGGGUGGUACGCCAGUUGGUGGUUACUGCUCUGCUUGCUCGUGAUUCCCGAAGGAUUUUCUCUAGGUGCCUUUAAACGGGUGUCUGGGGGUGCCUUCAGUUUUACUUUGAAAAAAUUAGAGUGCUCAAAGCAAGCUUCUGAAGCUUGAAUAUUCGUGCAUGGAAUAAUGGAAUAGGAAGUCGUUUCUAUUUUGUUGGUUUUCGGAAAUUGACUUAAUGAUUAAUAGGGACAGCCGGGGGCAUUAGUAUUCAAACGACAGAGGUGAAAUUCUUGGACCGUUUGAAGACUAACUACUGCGAAAGCAUUUGCCAAGAGUGUUUUCAUUAAUCAAGAACGAAAGUUAGAGGUUCGAAGGCGAUCAGAUACCGCCCUAGUUCUAACCAUAAACGAUGCCAGCUAGCGAUCCCUGGACGUUUUUUACGUAGGCUCCAGGGGCAGCUUCCGGGAAACCAAAGCUUGUGGGUUCCGGGGGAAGUAUGGUUGCAAAGCUGAAACUUAAAGGAAUUGACGGAAGGGCACCACCAGGCGUGGAGCCUGCGGCUUAAUUUGACUCAACACGGGAAAUCUCACCAGGCCCGGACACUGGAAGGAUUGACAGAUUGAGAGCUCUUUCUCGAUUCGGUGGGUGGUGGUGCAUGGCCGUUCUUAGUUGGUGGAGUGAUUUGUCUGGUUAAUUCCGAUAACGAACGAGACUCUGUCCUGCUAAAUAGUCGGCGCAUUGCUUGCUGUGCGUCGAGUUCUUCUUAGAGGGACUGGCGGCUCUUAGCCGCACGAGAUUGAGCAAUAACAGGUCUGUGAUGCCCUUAGAUGUUCUGGGCUGCACACGCGCUACACUGAAGGGAUCAGUGCGUUCUCCCUCGCUGAAAGGCGCGGGUAACCUGCUGAACCCUCUUCGUGGUAGGGAUCGGGGCUUGCAAUUAUUCUCCGUGAACCAGGAAUGCCCAGUAAGCACAAGUCAUAAGCUUGUGUUGAUUACGUCCCUGCCCUUUGUACACACCGCCCGUCGCUACUACCGAUUGAACGUUUUAGUGAGGUAUUUGGACUGGUGCUCGGAGGGCUUACCCCCACCGUGGCGCUUGGAAAGACUCCCAAACUUGAGCGUUUAGAGGAAGUAAAAGUCGUAACAAGGUUUCCGUAGGUGAACCUGCGGAAGGAUCAUUA
rnacentral:rRNA from 1 species